rnacentral:rRNA from 1 species
UCGAGAAUCUUCGGCAAUGGGCGCAAGCCUGACCGAGCGACGCCGCGUGCGGGAUGAAGGCCUUCGGGUUGUAAACCGCUGUCAGAGGGGCGGAAAUUUAUUGGAGUUCUCUCCAGUAAUUGACUUAACCUCAGAGGAAGCAUGGGCUAAGUUCGUGCCAGCAGCCGCGGUAAGACGAACCAUGCAAACGUUAUUCGGAAUUACUGGGCUUAAAGCGUGCGUAGGCGGCUCAGAAAGUUGGGUGUGAAAUCCCUCGGCCUAACCGAGGAAUUGCGCCCAAAACUACUGGGCUUGAGGGAGUUAGAGGUGAGCGGAACUCACGGUGGAGCGGUGAAAUGCGUUGAUAUCGUGAGGAACACCGGAGGCGAAAGCGGCUCACUGGGGCUUUUCUGACGCUGAGGCACGAAAGCUAGGGGAGCAAACGG